rnacentral:rRNA from 1 species
GAUGAACGCUGGCGGCGUGCCUAAUACAUGCAAGUCGAGCGACGCGGGGACGCGUGUGUAACACGUGUAUAACCUUCUCUAUGACUGGGAUAACCCCGGGAAACCGGCGUUAAAUUGGACACGUAUAUAUGGACCCGCGCUGCAUUAUCUAGUUGGUAAGGUAAGGGCUUACAAAGGCAACGAUGCAUGGCCGACCUGAGAGGGUGACCGGCCACACUGGAACGGGUAAAGGGUCCAGGCUCCUACGGGAGAGAUAGGUAGGGAAUUUUCCGAAUUGGGCGAAAGCCGGACGGAGCAACGCCGCGUGAGUGAGGAAGGUCUUCGGAUGGUAAAACUCUGUUAUUAGGGAAGCGGUACCUAAUCAGAAAGCCACGGCUAACUACGUGCCAGCAGCCGCGGUAAUAC